rnacentral:rRNA from 1 species
AGAGUUGAUCAUGGCUCAGGAUGAACGCUAGCUACAGGCUUAACACAUGCAAGUCGAGGGCAGCAGAUCGAUAGCUUGCUAUUGAUGCUGGCGACCGGCGCACGGGUGAGUAACGCGUAUCCAACCUUCCCUAUAGUAGGGGAUAGCCCGGCGAAAGUCGGAUUAAUACUCUAUGUUUUCCAAUGCAGACAUCUAAGUUGGAACAAAGGUUCACCGCUAUAGGAUGGGGAUGCGUCUGAUUAGGUUGUUGGCGGGGUAACGGCCCACCAAGCCUACGAUCAGUAGGGGUUCUGAGAGGAAGGUCCCCCACAUUGGAACUGAGACACGGUCCAAACUCCUACGGGAGGCAGCAGUGAGGAAUAUUGGUCAAUGGGCGAGAGCCUGAACCAGCCAAAAGUAGCGUGCAGGAUGACGGCCCUAUGGGUUGUAAACUGCUUUUAUACGGGGAUAAAGUGAGGGACGUGUCCCUUAUUGUAGGUACCGUAUGAAUAAGGACCGGCUAAUUCCGUGCCAGCCGCCGC